rnacentral:rRNA from 1 species
CCUACGGGAGGCAGCAGUGGGGAAUAUUGGGCAAUGGGCGAAAGCCUGGCCCAGCGACGCCGCGUGGGGGAAGAAGUCUUUCGGGAUGUAAACCCUUGUUGUACGGGACGAAAACAAUGACGGUACCGUACGAGGAAGCCCCGGCAAACUACGUGCCAGCAGCCGCGGUAAU